rnacentral:misc_RNA from 1 species
CCCACCCAAGAACGAAAAGUCUGGCAUGACAUCUACCACUUCGUCAGCAGAGGGACAAACAAAACUUCCUCAUUCGACUUCAAACCUCAGAAAGCUGCUGGAGGAAAAGCAUCGUGGGCUGUUAGUCAAAAGAGAUGUCACUUGUUCCCUAUUUUGCAGACUUUUCUCUCUUUCUCUUUUUACUCUUCUUCUUCAACAAUCCCUUCUCUGCUAGUGUUUUAAGUUUUUGCCUUUUCCGUUCCUUUGCUUUCUCCUCAAAGCCGUCAUCCAUCAUCUUCAUUGUUGCCACCCGUUUGGCUUUAUAUAUCUUAGUAAUAUCUGAGAGGACUUCCUUCUCUUUACACUCAAAUUCCACCAGUUGCUUCCCAAGAACAGCUUCUAUCUCAUGAAUGAGAUCUACAUCAUUCUCAGUAACAAAACUCACAGCCAGACCCCCUCUGCCUGCUCUAGCAGUACGCCCCACACGAUGAACAUAAUCUCUAGGAUACCUUGGAAUAUCAUAAUUGAUAACAAGAUCAACAGUAGGAAUGUCCAAACCACGACUGGCAACAUCAGUCGCAAUCAAUACAGAAGAUUGUCCAGAUUUGAAUCGAUGUACAGCAGAAAGCCUCAGAGACUGAGAUUUGAAUGAAUGCAAUGCUGCUGCUUCCUGGUCAAGCUCUUCCAGUAAUAAACUCAAAAGGUGACAAGUUCUGCAGGUAGACACAAAUAUCAUGGCAGAUCGAAUACCCAUAUCUUCCAUUUUAGACAAAAUGUGAACAAGAUAAACAUCCUUCACAUUCUUAGGGAUGAAAACAUACUGCUGUUUAAGAGUGUCAACUGUCUUGAAGCCUUCAUAGGCCUCAUAGAAAUAUGCCUUAUUUGCAGAAAGCUCAAGUAGCGUUUCCAAGUUACUUGUCAUUGUUGCAGAAAACAAUAGAGUUUGCCGGUUUUUUGGUAAGCAAUGAAACACUGCUCUUAAUUCUUCUUGAAAUCCAACAUCCAGAACUCUAUCAGCUUCAUCCAAAACGAGGAACUUGGUUCUAGAGAAGACAGGAGGGAUAUCAGG